GGUUGGGCUGGCUCAUGAUCAGCUUCUUAUUGACUCCAUGUUUCUCAGAAAACAACCAAUGUCGUAAUUUGCUGGUGACAGUGGUAAUGGUGGAGAUAAAGCAGACAAUGAAAAAAAAAUGAAAGAGCACCAAAUAUUCUUCAGUGAAGCAGAAUUUUUGUAUCUCCUCAGAUGGAAAAGAAACAAGACUUUAAAAAUAGAGAAAGGUUUCCAAAUAUAGAUACUAUAUUAUGAUCAUAUUAUUCCUCUAUAGCCCUUCACUGAAUCAUAAGUUUUCUCAAUUGUAUUCAUAUGAUAUAUUAAAAAAACACACAUGGACUUGAUUAAGAAGUUGGGUCUGGACUUGAGUUUCAUACUUAUAUGAUAUAAUAAAAGAAAAUUGGACUUGAGUCUUAUCUCUGCUUUUCACUAUUGAGUUGAACUAGGACUGGUGAACUAGGACUUUGUCAACAGAAAUAAGUCUCAGAAUUCUCAUGUAUAACAGAAGGGACCUCUUCUGUCAGAUUAUGAUUAAAAUGAGAUGAUGUUAAAUCUAUCUAAGUAUCUUAUCAUAUAGUAGAUAUUAAAGUAUUGUAUAUGGAAGUCAACAGAAAUUCCUAGGCAGAAAGGAAACAAAUAGGAUCCUUUCUAUUUUCUAGAUGAGAAAAAUAAGUAUCUUAGAAGUUAAAUCUCCCAAUAAAUUGAU
rnacentral:lncRNA from 1 species